CGUCGAAACCACCAUGCCCAGAGAUCUCGAUCUCUGUGAUUUGUAGGUUAUCAUGGUGAGGUGUCAAUCACUGCUUAUGGUGAGAAGAAACCUGACAGUCUGGAUGAUGUAAUCGACUUCGAACCCAAAAGGGGUAAGAGUGAGAGACUAAACAAGAUGUUAGUGGAAAUUGCAUUUUGGUCAGUGGAAAAUCCUGCUCCCCAUUAU